UAAAUCCUCAAUGGCAUCUUCCAAACCUCUAACUCCUUUUUCCACUUCUCAACGUGGUCCUCCGGUGGCACUGUCUAAGCCUUGAGGAGCUCGCCAAUUUACUCAACAGGAAUUCUUAGAUUUGCAUGCUAAAGGGCGUGUUAUAAGUGCAAGCAGCCAUAUAGUCCACUUCAUGACUAUCCAAACAAGUCGUUACAGGAUCUCAUUAUCGAUGAUGAUGAAAGUGUAGACAUUGAUGCUAUGGGUAAAGGUGAACCAGAGCAAGUAGUCAUGCUUACUGACGGCAUAGAUGAAUCCCAUUUUUCUCAAUUGGAAUUGCCCUUUUACUCUGUGGGUGGUAUUACUCGGCCAAAAAUGAUGAAGAUUAAGGGCAAAUUAAAUGGGCAUUGUCUCCCAAUCAUGAUCGAUAAUGGCACUAGUCACAAUUUCAUUGUUGAUAGAGUGGUUGAUAAGUUGAGCCUUCAUGUUCAACAAGCACAUUCGUUCGGGAUACGAUUAGUGUUAGUAUAUAUGCACUGUAGCCAAUGUGUUAGUUACAAGUGUAA
rnacentral:misc_RNA from 1 species